rnacentral:rRNA from 1 species
AUUGAACGCUGGCGGCAGGCCUAACACAUGCAAGUCGAGCGAGCGGCGGACGGGUGAGUAAUGUCUGGGAAAAUGCCUGAUGGAGGGGGAUAACUACUGGAAACGGUAGCUAAUACCGCAUACGCUACGAUGUGCACAGAUGGGAUUAGCUAUUAGGUGGGGUAACGGCUCACCUGGGCGACCAUCCCUAGCUGGUCUGAGAGAAUGACCAGCCACACUGGAACUGAGACACGGUCCAGACUCCUACGGGAGGCAGCAGUGGGGAAUAUUGCACAAGGGGCGCAAGCCUGAUGCAGCCAUGCCGCGUGUGUGAAGAAGGCCUUCGGGUUGUAAAGCACUUUCAGCGGGGAGGCGUUACCCGCAGAAGAAGCACCGGCUAACUCCGUGCCAGCAGCCGCGGUAAUAC